rnacentral:lncRNA from 1 species
GACAGAGGGAGUCAUUUCUGUGCUGUGACCAUAAUGCGGGGAGCCUGGUUCUGCAGCCGUGCAGUGUAACCCCAGUGCUCUUCAGGCUGUUGGAUGAAAAGGUACAUUUUAAACCCAGAACAAGGGAGCACAUUCGAAAGUGAAACGUAGAGUCAGCGCACGUUGGCUUGAAGAGGAAAAAAAACCCACUGACCCUUCCUCAGCCCCAACCAGAGAUGCGGAAGGGUGCGUGCUGUCCCCGAAAAUCCUGGCUGGCUGUCUCUCGACCAUGUGGCUUUCCUCACCCAGUCGCUCGUUCACUUAAUCCAUCUGGUUUGAAUAUCUUGGAGUUGGAAAGACUGGGAGAAGCUAGAACAGUUCAAGCUUCUUGAAACCGCC